UACAGAGGGGGCAAGCGUUAUUCGGAAUUAUUGGGCGUAAAGGGCGCGUAGGCGGCUUUUCAAGUGACGGGUGAAAUCCCUCGGCUUAACCGAGGAACUGCCUGUCAGACUGGAAGGCUUGAGACCGGGAGAGGUGAGUGGAAUUCCCAGUGUAGCGGUGAAAUGCGUAGAUAUUGGGAGGAACACCGGUGGCGAAGGCGGAUCUCUGGGCCUGUUCUGACGCUGAGGUGCGAAAGCGUGGGGAGCAAACAGG
rnacentral:rRNA from 1 species